rnacentral:lncRNA from 1 species
CACAUCUCUUGAACACACAAGAUGGGAGUUCUGCUGAGCCACUUCCUUCCAGGCUGGUUAACUUUACCUUUGUAUUAUGACAUGAACAACUGUUCUCCAUAUCCUCUGAAUGAAGAAGAUUCACUGCUUGGGACUUCAUCAUAAUCCAAGGAACCUCAUCAUCCUGCAAGAUCACCUAGACUAGCUGGCUUCACUCCUUGGGAUUUUUCUAUUUUGCCCCUGGGCUAGGUACCUUCCUUCCCUGUCUUCCCUUUUUCAGUUUCCUUUUGUCUUCGUAUUGUCUUCGCCCUGACACCCCUCUUAGAUGGUAAGCUUUCUGAGGGCAGGGCUGUCUGUUUUGCUUUUUCUUAUUGGUAUCUCUAGUGGUUAGCACAGAGCCUAGCACAUAUUAUGUGCUUAAUAAAUGUUUGUUCACUUUAGACUGAUUGGCA